GACGAACGCUGGCGGCGUGCCUAACACAUGCAAGUCAAGGAGAAUUCCCGACUUGUCGGGAUAGUAAACUGGCGAACGGGUGAGUAACACGUAGGUAAUCUACCCUCGGGAUCGGGAUAACCUCGCGAAAGUGGGGAUAAUACCGAAUAAAGUCUCGGUAUAAUUUGUCGAGAUGAAAGAUGGGGAUCUUCGGACCUAUUACCUGAGGAUGAGCCUGCGCCUGAUUAGCUAGUUGGUAGGGUAAAUGCCUACCAAGGCAACGAUCAGUAGCUGGUCUGAGAGGAUGAUCAGCCACAUUGGGACUGAGAUACGGCCCAGACUCCUACGGGAGGCAGCAGUGAGGAAUUUGCGCAAUGGGCGAAAGCCUGACGCAGCAACGCCGCGUGACUGAUUAAGCUCUGAGGAGUGUAAAAGUCUGUCGUAGAGGAAGAAACUAUCCGAUAAGAAUAUUGUCGGAUACUGACGGUACUCUAUGAGAAAGCUCCGGCUAA
rnacentral:rRNA from 1 species